rnacentral:misc_RNA from 1 species
CGUACAAAUCCGAUUUUGGCAUUCCGAUUUUUCCAACUUAUUUGUUGGGAGAUGAAAGAGUGCCGCUGAUGGGUGCGUCCGUGUUGAUUUUUCGAUUUUUCGAAAAAUUGGUGUGGUCACCUGAAGAUGAGAUAGGCGAUGCUCGAGAGUCAGGGAGGGAAAAGUUGAUUUCUUUGUUGAAAUUGGUUUUUUGUUUUCUGGCUUCGUCGCGCUGUUUGAUAAGAGUAACGCUGUGGGCGGGAUGCAAUAUUCUGUUUUUCUGUUGCCGUGUUGAUUUGCGCCAAGCUAAGAAAUUUCAAUUUCUGUUCUGCUGGCAAUGGUUGGCAUGGUGGCUUGCAGGAGAAUAUACGUUCCGGUGCUGCGAAUUGAUGAAUUUCUGUUCAGUAGUGCUGAUGUGGUAUUGUUUUUCUGUAGGUAAGAAAAAUGAAUAGAGCUGCUGUUGAUCAGUGCGAAAAAUUGAACGGCGAUGUGCGAAAAAAUUGAGUUUUUGAUCGUCUAGAAAAUCAGAAUGUCAAAAUUCUGUGCUGAUGCAAAAAUAUAAUAUUUGGAUCUCAAAUCAGA